UGGGGAAUAUUGGACAAUGGGCGCAAGCCUGAUCCAGCCAUGCCGCGGGUGUGAAGAAGGCCUUUUGGUUGUAAAGCACUUUAAGCGAGGAGGAGGCUACCUGGAUUAAUACUCUAGGAUAGUGGACGUUACUCGCAGAAUAAGCACCGGCUAACUCUGUGCCAGCAGCCGCGGUAAUACAGAGGGUGCGAGCGUUAAUCGGAUUUACUGGGCGUAAAGCGUGCGUAGGCGGCUUCUUAAGUCGGAUGUGAAAUCCCUGAGCUUAACUUAGGAAUUGCAUUCGAUACUGGGAAGCUAGAGUAUGGGAGAGGAUGGUAGAAUUCCAGGUGUAGCGGUGAAAUGCGUAGAGAUCUGGAGGAAUACCGAUGGCGAAGGCAGCCAUCUGGCCUAAUACUGACGCUGAGGUACGAAAGCAUGGGGAGCAAACAGG
rnacentral:rRNA from 1 species